rnacentral:rRNA from 1 species
GACGAACGCUGGCGGCGUGCCUAAUACAUGCAAGUAGAACGCUGAAGGGGGAGCUUGCUUCUCCGGAUGAGUUGCGAACGGGUGAGUAACGCGUAGGUAACCUGCCUGGUAGUGGGGGAUAACUAUUGGAAACGAUAGCUAAUACCGCAUAACAACAGUUGUUGCAUGACAACUGUUUGAAAGGUGCAAUUGCACCACUACCAGAUGGACCUGCGUUGUAUUAGCUAGUUGGUGGGGUAACGGCUCACCAAGGCGACGAUACAUAGCCGACCUGAGAGGGUGAUCGGCCACACUGGGACUGAGACACGGCCCAGACUCCUACGGGAGGCAGCAGUAGGGAAUCUUCGGCAAUGGACGGAAGUCUGACCGAGCAACGCCGCGUGAGUGAAGAAGGUUUUCGGAUCGUAAAGCUCUGUUGUAAGAGAAGAACGAGUGUGAGAGUGGAAAGUUCACACUGUGACGGUAUCUUACCAGAAAGGGACGGCUAACUACGUGC